rnacentral:rRNA from 1 species
AGCGAACGCUGGCGGCAGGCUUAACACAUGCAAGUCGAGCGGACCUUUCGGGGUCAGCGGCGGACGGGUGAGUAACGCGUGGGAACGUGCCUUCCGGUUCGGAAUAACCCUGGGAAACUAGGGCUAAUACCGGAUACGCCCUUAUGGGGAAAGGUUUACUGCCGGAAGAUCGGCCCGCGUCUGAUUAGCUAGUUGGUGGGGUAACGGCCUACCAAGGCGACGAUCAGUAGCUGGUCUGAGAGGAUGAUCAGCCACACUGGGACUGAGACACGGCCCAGACUCCUACGGGAGGCAGCAGUGGGGAAUAGUGGACAAUGGGCGCAAGCCUGAUCCAGCCAUGCCGCGUGAGUGAUGAAGGCCUUAGGGUUGUAAAGCUCUUUUAUCCGGGACGAUAAUGACGGUACCGGAGGAAUAAGCCCCGGCUAACUUCG